GAAACUGCAGUCCAGAUUAUCUUCUUUGCUGGACUCUGAAUCACCACAGAACAAUGCUGGGAAGGUACUAAACAGUAUCAGAAAUAUUCUUAAGGAUAUUGAAGAAGAGGCAGAUUUAAUGAAUGCAAGCAAGAUGGUUGAAGUUUCUGAAAGUGAAUCAUUAAUGAACCAAGACAAGAGGUUGAGCAUUGGGAGUAAGCAUUCCAUGGAUCAAGAAGUUAUAAAUGCCAUCUUGAAGAUUCAAGACUUUGUUAAGUCACUUGAUCAAGAAAUGUCCAAGCACCAGAGACCGUCUUCUGAUUAUGGUGGGCUUUCUGAGAAAAUUCAGCAAUUCUCUGCGCUAGUUGAGAAAGUUCUAUCAAAUGAAAAUGUCAUAAAUGACAUCAUUAUGACACUAUCUCACAUCUUGUCAGAAACUAGUGAGAUCAAGUUCACAAUGUUGAGAGACAGCACAAAUGAAGCAGACAGUAAUAAUUUGGAUUAUGUUGACAAAGUGACACUACUUGAAAAUAAAGUGCAGCCUCAUUCAUCUUCUGGCCCUUGCCCACUUAUUCCUCAUCCAUCUUCUGAUCCUGAGAUUGUGGGGCCUAAUGAUGCCGGAUUCGAUGUUAAGACUGCAGUGCAGAUGUGCUCACCGGAGGACUACGAGCGACUUAAAUCUGAGAAGAUUAAUCUGGAGACAGAACUAGCGAGAUGCAGUGAAAUGAUAGAAGAUACAAAGUGUAGGUUUAGUGAGAUGGAGAAAAACCUGGAAGAGCUUACAUCCAGGUUGUCUGCCAGCGAGAAUUCAAACAGCUUGGCUGAGACGCAGCUGAAGUGUAUGGUUGAAUCCUACAAGAUUCUUGAAUCAAGGAAAGUUGAAUUAGAAAAGGAAAUAGAAGUGUUGCAGUCCAAAAUAGAGACUUUAACAGCUGAACUCGGGGAUGAAAGACAAAGUCAUCAGGAUGACUUAGCCAGAUACAAAGAUCUCGAAGAGAAGAUGGAAAGGUAAUACUGAAAUCUAUUUAUGAGUAGUUAGUAUAUGUGCAUCUGCUUAGUUUCUUCUCACUUGACUUUGUGAUAUGAAGGUACGAAAACGAGCAGAGUUCAAUGCAUGUGGAAGAGGUUGACGACACCAAAUCAAAGCAGGUACUAAUAAUAACUAAUAAGUGCUAGAGCUCCUUUUCUCAAACACACAUCCAAGUGUGUGAUUGUAGUACUCCCUCCAAUCCGAAUUAAUUGACACAGCCUCUAUACAAUGUCAAACUGGCAUUGUAUAGACGCUUCAACAAUUAAUUCGGUUGACAUUGUAUAGAGGAUGCGUCAAUUAAUUCGGAUCGGAGGGAGUGCAAGAGAUGUUCUUAGAUUCACAAUAUCUAUUUAUAUCUCUGUGUGGCUCUUUCGGAGCGAUCUGCCCUGUUAAGUUUCACUGUUAGGUUGGCUGAUGAAUGUUGUCUUCCCUUUUGGUUCCUUUUUCUUCUUUUGGCAACGUUGUACCAUACUGUUGGAUUCUGGCAACAGAAAUCAGUGAAAACCCCUUUUCAAAAAUAAAUAAGUAAAGAUUGCAUUGUAAUGUUUGUUCCACUGCUGAAUUCUGCAUGUUCAUGAUGGCACAAUUCCAAAUCACUCCCUCCGUUCCUAAAUAUAAGUCUUUUUAGAGAUUUCUAUAUGAACUAAAUACGGAUGUAUAUAGACGUAUUUUAAAGUGUGGAUUCACUCAUUUUGCUUCGUAUGUAGUCCAUAUAAGAAGACUUAUAUUUAGGAACGGAGGGAGUACUUAUGUUCAUCUGUUGUGCUUGUGAUUUCUGAAUGUAGAAUUUUAACUAUGAAAAAUAUGUUAGCAAUAAAUGAUAUCCUACUAAGAAUCAAGCGGCAAGCGCUAAAUAUGUUAUAAGCUCAUUUCCGGGUUACUUCAGACUAGGUUGUAAAUUUGUAAUGCUGAAAGCAAUGGUCUUUUCUGGAAAUUCAAGACUUACAAAACACUUAUAACACACUUAUUCUUGUUUAAAUCGGUGGCAGGAGGUGGAAAUAGCGGCCGCAGCAGAAAAGCUUGCAGAGUGCCAGGAGACCAUGUUGAUUCUUGGUCGUCAACUGCAAGCUAUGCGUCCUCCAGCAGAGUCAAUGGGUGCCUCGCCAACCCGGCAACGAAUGGAGGACUUCUUGCAAGACGCGGCAGGAACAACCGAAGGCGAGUAUGCCCAGAAACCAUCAGGCCAGCAUGAUACAGAUCAGGAAAUGCUGGAGUCAGAGAAUGUAUCUCCCCUCAACGGAUACAAGACCCACAUGACCCCUUCUGAUGCGGACGGAAGCCCUUCUCUUUCAACAAACAGUUCCAAGCGCCCAAAGCAUAGGUCGCGAUCCUCAUCCUCUUCCUCAUUUGCUAACCAGUUGCCCGAGAAACAAAGCCGGGGCUUUAGUCGGUUCUUCGCCAAGGGCAAAGAGUGAACAUUAGCUGGAUUGCAAGAUUAUGUGAUGUUGGCUUGUUGAUUCUUCGGCGAAUGGAUGGAUGACGGAUGAAAACGGGUCAUGGGUUUCUAUAGAGCUACUCGGCGAAUCUGCUUGUGUAUUAUUUUGGGGUGACGCCUCCGGUGGUUCAGUUGCUGGAGUAAUACUUGCCUUGCAGUCGAGCGGUUAUGACCAGGUUGUGUGUGAGAGAGAGAGUGUGUGUGUGUUAGCUGUCGUUAUCUUCUUCUAGAGUUUUUUCUGGGUUGCUGUUUGUCUGAAACCUCACUAAAACCUCACUGUACAUGGUGCUUACCUGCAUGAAGAAGAGAGCUGCUGUUUGUUUGUGUUCCAUUCUCUUGUGAGAAGUAGUCUGUGUAUGUCGUUGGUGCCAAAACUGGCUUCAUGUACAGCUAAGUUAACCUGCGUCAGUUUGAAGGUUAUCAUUGUGUUUAUAUCUGUUUAUCAGUGUCAAAAUCUGAAGAAAGAUUUUUGUUGCCCAUUUUGUGUCUUCU
rnacentral:lncRNA from 1 species